UGCCAGCCGCCGCGGUAAUACAGAGGGUGCGAGCGUUAAUCGGAAUUACUGGGCGUAAAGCGUGCGUAGGCGGCUGUAUAAGUUGGGUGUGAAAGCCCCGGGCUCAACCUGGGAACUGCACUCAAAACUGUACAGCUAGAGUAGGAUAGAGGGAAGUGGAAUUUCCGGUGUAGCGGUGAAAUGCGUAGAUAUCGGAAGGAACACCAGUGGCGAAGGCGGCUUCCUGGACCGAUAUUGACACUGAGGUGCGAAAGCGUGGGGAGCAAACAGGAUUAGAUA
rnacentral:rRNA from 1 species